AGCCCUCGCUCAGUUGGCCGGCCUCGCCUUCGCAUCCGUCCGGCCGCAGUCAACCUCCGGUUCGGAGUUCCCAUUCCCCACCAACCACCGUCUCCAUCGCACCGUCGCACUGUCGCCUCGCCGGCCGCACCUACGCCGUUGAAGUCGCUGUCGCAGCUGCAGGACGGAAAGGGCUUCAACAAGUGUGCUACCAACUGUCCAACUACCAAGAUAAGCAUGCAUUGCUGUUUUUUCUGUAGUGAUAGAUGCUUUUAUGCCACCAUUUGGUUCAUUUUCACAUGUUUUCUUUAGCAGAAUCAGUAUGGAAAUACUGCUCUUUUUUUGCUGUCUUUGUUCCAUUUUCUGUACUAUCUUCUCCUUUUCAUGAUCUUUGUUUUGGAAAUUGCGACAUCAAAUCCCAGUCAAUCUAAACUUUGUAUGCUUGCUUGGUUUAUCUAGUCAUGUAUUAAUACUCAUCACAUUUCAGUGUCUGCUUUGCAAACCAAAUUGAUGGUUAAGUGCUUGCCUAUUUGUUCUGCCUGAUUUCAUCGCAGCUCAGUUGUAUGAUUGCUGGGUUUCCUACUUUUCAGCUUUUGUUUUCCGUUUCAUGUUGUAGUGUUGCUGUGUUUCAUGUUUUGAUGAGUUUUGUUCAUUUAUUUGUAGAACAACACUCUGUGUUGGUGUCAAGAUCUAUAGAGCAGGCAUUUCUAUGGGCAGUGCAUCAGGACUCGAAGGAAGCAUAGCAUCAUCGGUUUUUGUGUUUCAUUAAUUCUCAUUUCAAGAUGGCAUCUGCUGGCCUAAAGCCAGGGGUGCCUGUUAUUCUACGGGAGCUGGAGCCAUCCUCAGAGAUGUUCAAGCAAGGAGCGUCCCUUCGAGUCACAGGAAGGAGUUUUACUCUGCUUUUAAGAAAGCAAAUAUUCAAGGGUACAGGCAAAGCUGGGACACCAUCUCACAAGCAAGUCAAAGGCCUCUAACAACAGCAACGACAAGCUAGAUUUCUAUUACAUCAGACAACAUGGUGUCACUCGCUUGGUAGUUCUGUAGCCAUGCAGCAAUUCUCUUCUCCAUGUCUUGCACUUCAGCUUUGUCCUUCUAUAGCAGCACGCACCACUUCUGCACGAAGGAGAUAGCAAUGUAUAUGACAUCAGUAGGUCUGUUCAGGAACCACUUCUCUAUUGCCAUCUUAUUUGUAUAGGUCAGAUCAUCCAAGUUAGCCCUGCAAACAUAAACAUACCUAGCCACUUAAAGGCACCAAGUUUUGUUUCC
rnacentral:lncRNA from 1 species